UGGGGAAUAUUGGACAAUGUGCGCAAGCCUGAUCCAGCCAUGCCGCGUGAGUGAUGAAGGCCCUAGGGUUGUAAAGCUCUUUCAUUGUUGAAGAUAAUGACUGUAACCGGAGAAGAAGCCCCGGCUAACUUCGUGCCAGCAGCCGCGGUAAUACGAAGGGGGCUAGCGUUGUUCGGAUUUACCGGGCGUAAAGCGCACGUAGGCGGACUAUUAAGUCAGGGGUGAAAUCCCGGGGCUCAACCCCGGAACUGCCUUUGAUACUGGUAGUCUUGAGUUCGAGAGAGGUGAGUGGAAUUCCGAGUGUAGAGGUGAAAUUCGUAGAUAUUCGGAGGAACACCAGUGGCGAAGGCGGCUCACUGGCUCGAUACUGACGCUGAGGUGCGAAAGCGUGGGGAGCAAACAGG
rnacentral:rRNA from 1 species